rnacentral:rRNA from 1 species
ACGAGAAAGUGGAGCAAUCCAUGAGUAAAGUGGCGACCGGGUGAGUAACACGUGACUAACCUACCUUCUAGUGGGGGAUAACCUCGGGAAACCGAGGCUAAUACCGCAUAACAUCGCAAGAUCAAAGCAGCAAUGCGCUGGAAGAGGGGGUCGCGGCUGAUUAGCUAGUUGGCGGGGUAACGGCCCACCAAGGCGAAGAUCGGUAUCCGGCCUGAGAGGGCGCACGGACACACUGGAACUGAAACACGGUCCAGACUCCUACGGGAGGCAGCAGUGGGGAAUUUUGCACAAUGGAGGAAACUCUGAUGCAGCGACGCCGCGUGAGCGAUGAAGCCCUUCGGGGUGUAAAGCUCUUUCGACGGGAACGAUAAUGACGGUACCCGGAGAAGAAGCUGCGGCUAACUACGUGCCAGCAGCCGCGGUAAUACGUAGGCAGCGAGCGUUGUUCGGAAUUACUGGGCGUAAAGAGUGUGUAGGCGGUGUUCUAAGUCUGGUGUGAAAUCUCCCGGCUCAACUGGGAGGGUGCGCUAGAGACUGGAAAUGCUUGAGUAUGGGAGAGGUAAGCGGAAUUCCUGGUGUAGCGGUGAAAUGCGUAGAUAUCAGGAGGAACACCUGUGGUGUAGACAGCUUACUGGACCAUGACUGACGCUGAGACACGAAAGCGUGGGUAGCAAACAGGAU